GAUGAACGCUGGCGGCGUGCUUAACACAUGCAAGUCGAACGGUGAAGGAGAGCUUGCUCUUUGGAUCAGUGGCGAACGGGUGAGUAACACGUGAGCAAUCUGCCCCUGACUCUGGGAUAACAGUUGGAAACAGCUGCCAAUACCGGAUAUGAGACGUGACCGCAUGGUCGACGUUUGGAAAGAAUUUCGGUCAGGGAUGAGCUCGCGGCCUAUCAGCUUGUUGGUGAGGUAAUGGCUCACCAAGGCGUCGACGGGUAGCCGGCCUGAGAGGGUGACCGGCCACACUGGGACUGAGACACGGCCCAGACUCCUACGGGAGGCAGCAGUGGGGAAUAUUGCACAAUGGGCGAAAGCCUGAUGCAGCAACGCCGCGUGAGGGACGACGGCCUUCGGGUUGUAAACCUCUUUUAGCAGGGAAGAAGCGAAAGUGACGGUACCUGCAGAAAAAGCGCCGGCUAACUACGUGCCAGCAGCCGCGGUAAUACGUAGGGCGCAAGCGUUAUCCGGAAUUAUUGGGCGUAAAGAGCUCGUAGGCGGUUUGUCGCGUCUGCUGUGAAAACUGGAGGCUCAACCUCCAGCCUGCAGUGGGUACGGGCAGACUAGAGUGCGGUAGGGGAGAUUGGAAUUCCUGGUGUAGCGGUGGAAUGCGCAGAUAUCAGGAGGAACACCGAUGGCGAAGGCAGAUCUCUGGGCCGUAACUGACGCUGAGGAGCGAAAGGGUGGGGAGCAAACAGGCUUAGAUACCCUGGUAGUCCACCCCGUAAACGUUGGGAACUAGUUGUGGGGUCCAUUCCACGGAUUCCGUGACGCAGCUAACGCAUUAAGUUCCCCGCCUGGGGAGUACGGCCGCAAGGCUAAAACUCAAAGGAAUUGACGGGGACCCGCACAAGCGGCGGAGCAUGCGGAUUAAUUCGAUGCAACGCGAAGAACCUUACCAAGGCUUGACAUAUACGAGAACGGGCUAGAAAUAGUCAACUCUUUGGACACUCGUAAACAGGUGGUGCAUGGUUGUCGUCAGCUCGUGUCGUGAGAUGUUGGGUUAAGUCCCGCAACGAGCGCAACCCUCGUUCUAUGUUGCCAGCACGUAAUGGUGGGAACUCAUGGGAUACUGCCGGGGUCAACUCGGAGGAAGGUGGGGAUGACGUCAAAUCAUCAUGCCCCUUAUGUCUUGGGCUUCACGCAUGCUACAAUGGCCGGUACAAAGGGCUGCAAUACCGUAAGGUGGAGCGAAUCCCAAAAAGCCGGUCCCAGUUCGGAUUGAGGUCUGCAACUCGACCUCAUGAAGUCGGAGUCGCUAGUAAUCGCAGAUCAGCAACGCUGCGGUGAAUACGUUCCCGGGUCU
rnacentral:rRNA from 1 species